rnacentral:rRNA from 1 species
UACGUAGGGUGCAAGCGUUGUCCGGAAUUAUUGGGCGUAAAGAGCUCGUAGGCGGUUUGUCGCGUCGGCUGUGAAAACCCGGGGCUCAACCCCGGGCCUGCAGUCGAUACGGUCAAACUAGAGUGUGGUAGGGGAGACUGGAAUUCCUGGUGUAGCGGUGAAAUGCGCAGAUAUCAGGAGGAACACCGGUGGCGAAGGCGGGUCUCUGGGCCAUAACUGACGCUGAGGAGCGAAAGCAUGGGGAGCGAACAGG